UGUUACCUACGGGGCGCAGCAGUGGGGAAUAUUGCACAAUGGGGGGAACCCUGAUGCAGCGACGCCGCGUGGGUGAAGGAGUAUUUCGGUAUGUAAAGCCCUAUCAGCAGGGAAGAACAAUGACGGUACCUGACUAAGAAGCACCGGCUAAAUACGUGCCAGCAGCCGCGGUAAUACGUAGGGGGCAAGCGUUAUCCGGAUUUACUGGGUGUAAAGGGGGCGCAGACGCCGAUGCAAGCCAGGAUUGAAACCCCGGGGCC
rnacentral:rRNA from 1 species